rnacentral:tRNA from 1 species
GCCGAAGUGGCGGAAUUGGCAUACGCGCUACGUUCAGGGCGUAGUGGCUGUAAAGCCUUGUGGGUUCGAAUCCCACCUUCGGCACCA